rnacentral:rRNA from 1 species
CCUACGGGCGGCUGCAGUGGGGAAUAUUGGGCAAUGGGCGCAAGCCUGACCCAGCAACGCCGCGUGAAGGAAGAAGGCCCUCGGGUUGUAAACUUCUUUUAUCAGGGACGAAAAAAAUGACGGUACCUGAUGAAUAAGCCACGGCUAACUACGUGCCAGCAGCCGCGGUAAUACGUAGGUGGCAAGCGUUAUCCGGAUUUACUGGGUGUAAAGGGCGUGUAGGCGGGACUGCAAGUCAGAUGUGAAAACUAUGGGCUCAACCCAUAGCCUGCAUUUGAAACUGUGGUUCUUGAGUGAUGGAGAGGCAGGCGGAAUUCCGUGUGUAGCGGUGAAAUGCGUAGAUAUACGGAGGAACACCAGUGGCGAAGGCGGCCUGCUGGACAUUAACUGACGCUGAGGCGCGAAAGCGUGGGGAGCAAACAGGCUUAGAUACCCCGGUAGUC